rnacentral:rRNA from 1 species
GAUGAACGCUGGCGGCGUGCCUAAUACAUGCAAGUCGAGCGAACGGACGAGAAGCUUGCUUCUCUGAUGUUAGCGGCGGACGGGUGAGUAACACGUGGAUAACCUAUCUAUAAGACUGGGAUAACUUCGGGAAACCGUAGCUAAUACCGGAUAAUAUUUUGAACCGCAUGGUUCAAAAGUGAAAGACGGUCUUGCUGUCACUUAUAGAUGGAUCCGCGCUGCAUUAGCUAGUUGGUAAGGUAACGGCUUACCAAGGCAACGAUGCAUAGCCGACCUGAGAGGGUGAUCGGCCACACUGGAACUGAGACACGGUCCAGACUCCUACGGGAGGCAGCAGUAGGGAAUCUUCCGCAAUGGGCGAAAGCCUGACGGAGCAACGCCGCGUGAGUGAUGAAGGUCUUCGGAUCGUAAAACUCUGUUAUUAGGGAAGAACAUAUGUGUAAGUAACUGUGCACAUCUUGACGGUACCUAAUCAGAAAGCCACGGCUAACUGCGUG